AUCGCCAAAUCAUCUACAUAUAUAUCAUAGCAUAACACAAAGUGUUGCAUAUGAGAUCACAAAGUAUACCACACAGUCACAAAGUAUCACAAGUGUUCACUAACCUUCACAAGUAUCACAUUUAGCGGGGCAUGUACUACUCGAGGAGCUAGCCUCGACACACACAUGCUAAACUCCAACCAUGCUAUUGGAAAGGAAACAAAGCACAAUUAGUCGCUAUGUCGAGGAGAUGACAACACCACAUCAGGUUACAUGUAGCUCCAAUCAGCACUGCUGCUCCAUCCAUUCUUCAUGUGUCCACUGCAAUUAACCAAACAAGAAAGAGGUUCCGAUUUAUAAGAUUCAUCAUAUCAAAUAAUCUAGAAAAUUUGACACCAAGCAACUUGAGAAGCAACAUUAUUUGGAACCACAACAUACACCCAGAAAUACACCAAGCAACUUGCAGGAACACUCUUUUCUAAUUAUUAAUCCUUCAACGUGGUGACCUUCUCAACAUCACAAGUCGAUCUUCAAUCACAAAAGUCAAGCAUCUUCAAUCACAAAAUUCAAGCAUCGGCACCAUAGGAGCAAAUAAAUAUUUGGUGACAAUUAUAAUUCAAAAAAUGGUAGCGAUGUGUAAGUCACUGAAAUUUCAAAGGAAUAACCUGCCACAACUCAACGUUGAUGAACUUCAAGCCGUCAAACAGAGAUCAGUUGAAAAUACACACUACUCAUCGAAAGAACUAAUGUGCACAUAGUACUAGAACAAAUCAAAGAGGCGGGAGAUAAAAUAUCUUCAUUGCAGGUACCAUUUAAUUCAUAGGAUACCAUACAAUAAAUUUUCAAGUACUAGUUAGGAGUUUAGGUAAUAAACUUCUAAUAUGAUGACCAUCUAUCACAGAAAAUAAAAAUAUUUCAAAUGGAGUUGAUACUUACAGGUUAGAGGUUACAAAUGAUACUUAGAGGUUACAGGUUAUAUGUUGAUACUUAUGGGUUAAACAAGAUGGUUGUUUACAAUAAUUAAACAUCAAAAAAAUUAAGCAACAUCAGAAUAAUCAAACGGAGACUACCAACAGAUUGGUUUCUCGAGAUUACUAUGUAUAUUUCUAAGGUAUUAUCAUUAAAUAAAUAUAAGUUCACACGUCAAUACUGCAAUCACAAGCUAGUAGUAUCACAAAUUUAAACAUCCAUAGUCCAUGUUCGAUCAAACCGUACUACACUCUCUUUAUCGAUGAUUUUGAAGGCAUAUCAAGCUAUAAAAAUCACUAUGUGAAGUGAAAAAUGCAUAACACAACUUGUAUCGAUCGCAGCUGCAUGAGGUCUGAUUGUAUUCUCUAGAUGUUAUAGGAAAUUCAUGGCACGCAAGACUAAAAAACUGCAUUACCAUUACUAUUGUUGGUUUGUUGCUCUAGCAAGUAUUUUCCGAGCAUCGCGUGCAGAAAUAAAGCUCAAGCGGGGUAAUAAUCGUUUAAAAAGGCUGAAAGAAAAUCCACAAUUUUCUGAAGGGAAGCCCUUAUUCAUGUUUACCAGCUAAACUACCAAAAUACAAUAUAUUGUUUGUGGCAUGUAAUGGCACUUAACUAUACAAUGGUUAUGGAGAAUCAUAAUAUCCGAAAAUGUACACCUUCAUAGAACUCAAUGAAUAUUUGGAUAUUAUGCACUUGGAUAACAAUGAACUGCUAGCCAUAAAUCAUCUUAAGAAAAGUAUGUGCCAAAAAUGCAAAGCAAUUCCACUCACCUAUAUACAGUUGUCACUUCAAAUUGGAAUCAAGGAUAAUUUUUUCUAAACUUAGUUACCCAUAUGACAUAGAAAUCAAGACAAUUCUCUCUAAACCUGCAUGAAGUUCUUAACUAAAUAGACCAGCUAAAUAUCUAAAGGCGGGGAGGAGGAAUACAGUUGGGUGCCAGCAACCGAGGGGAUGGGUGACACACACGUAAAAAGGUGGCAAUGAGUGCCGGUGGCUAGUGAGGGCAUUGGACUGAUGUAUGUUACUUGGACUUAGAAUGUCCAUGUAUAGCUGAGAAUUUGAAGGAUGCAAAGAUGAAUGUCUGCAAAGAAGAUUAAAUUGCUUGUUGGACAUGAUAAAAAAAAUAUGAGAGCCAAAAAUACAUUAAACAAUAGUAAGAACGAGUAAAUUGUGCAGUGUCACAAUUGCGGCAAGACAAAUAGCAUUUGCAUACGAAGCAGAAAACUAUUUAAUGAGAAUACAAAAAAUACAAUCACACAGGUAGUAAUGUUAGUGGUGAAUUACAAAAUAAAAUGCUGUCGGUGCAUCAUACGAAUCUUUCAGGGGUCAUGACCAGCUCAUAUUAAAAUAGCACCGUUCAAAGUUGAUCAUGUUAAGUUGAAAGAGAUCACCUGAAUAUAAGUCCUAUGGUCUCAUAGAGUCCGUGUU
rnacentral:lncRNA from 1 species